rnacentral:piRNA from 1 species
UGGAGUAUCACCAAGAUGGUGCGUCUUUA